AUGCUUGGGAACAUGCCUUGAGGUGGGGGACAACAGUUGGAAACGACUGCUAAUACCGCAUAAUGUCUACGGACCAAAGGGGGCUUCGGCUCUCGCCUUUAGAUUGGCCCAAGUGGGAUUAGCUAGUUGGUGAGGUAAUGGCUCACCAAGGCAACGAUCCCUAGCUGGUUUGAGAGGAUGAUCAGCCACACUGGAACUGAGACACGGUCCAGACUCCUACGGGAGGCAGCAGUGGGGAAUAUUGCACAAUGGGCGCAAGCCUGAUGCAGCCAUGCCGCGUGUGUGAAGAAGGCCUUCGGGUUGUAAAGCACUUUCAGUCAGGAGGAAAGGUUAGUAGUUAAUACCUGCUAGCUGUGACGUUACUGACAGAAGAAGCACCGGCUAACUCCGUGCCAGCAGCCGCGGUAAUACGGAGGGUGCGAGCGUUAAUCGGAAUUACUGGGCGUAAAGCGUACGCAGGCGGUUUGUUAAGCGAGAUGUGAAAGCCCCGGGCUCAACCUGGGAACUGCAUUUCGAACUGGCAAACUAGAGUGUGAUAGAGGGUGGUAGAAUUUCAGGUGUAGCGGUGAAAUGCGUAGAGAUCUGAAGGAAUACCGAUGGCGAAGGCAGCCACCUGGGUCAACACUGACGCUCAUGUACGAAAGCGUGGGAGCAAACAGGAUUAGAUACCCUGGUAGUCCACGCCGUAAACGAUGUCUACUAGAAGCUCGGAACCUCGGUUCUGUUUUUCAAAGCUAACGCAUUAAGUAGACCGCCUGGGGAGUACGGCCGCAAGGUUAAAACUCAAAUGAAUUGACGG
rnacentral:rRNA from 1 species